CUAAAGGCUCUUUUAAGAGCCACCACGUUGCACAAGAGGGCUGUG
rfam:Chlamydotis undulata macqueenii contig26250, whole genome shotgun sequence.